rnacentral:rRNA from 1 species
UACGAAGGGGGCUAGCGUUGUUCGGAAUUACUGGGCGUAAAGGGCGCGUAGGCGGUCCUGAUCGUCGGAUGUGAAAGGCCUGGGCUCAACCUGGGAACUGCAUCCGAUACGGCGGGACUGGAGUGUGGGAGAGGUUGGUGGAAUUCCCAGUGUAGAGGUGAAAUUCGUAGAUAUUGGGAAGAACACCGGUGGCGAAGGCGGCCAACUGGAUCGGUACUGACGCUGAGGUGCGAAAGCGUGGGGAGCAAACAGG